AGUGAAGCGGGAAAAGCUCAAAUUUAAAAUCUGGCAGCUUUGGCUGUCCGAGUUGUAGUCUGGAGAAGCGUUUUCUGUGCUGGACCGUGUACAAGUCUCUUGGAAUAGAGCGUCAUAGAGGGUGAGAAUCCCGUCUUUGACACGGACUGCCAGUGCUUUGUGAUGCGCUCUCAAAGAGUCGAGUUGUUUGGGAAUGCAGCUCAAAAUGGGUGGUAAAUUCCAUCUAAAGCUAAAUAUUGGCGAGAGACCGAUAGCGAACAAGUACCGUGAGGGAAAGAUGAAAAGCACUUUGGAAAGAGAGUUAAACAGUACGUGAAAUUGUUGAAAGGGAAACGCUUGAAGUCAGUCGCGUGUGCUAGAACUCAGCCUGGUUUUUACUUGGUGCAUUUUCUAGUACACGGGCCAGCAUCAAUUUUGACCGCUGGAUAAAGGCCUCAGGAAUGUGGCACCUUCGGGUGUGUUAUAGCCUGGGGUUGUAUACAGCGGUUGGGAUUGAGGAUCUCAGCAUGCCUUUUGGCCGGGGUUCGCCCACGUUCAUGCUUAGGAUGCUGGCGUAAUGGCUUUAAACGACCCGUCUUGAAACACGGACCAAGGAGUCUAACAUGCCUGCGAGUGUUUGGGUGGAAAACCCGAGCGCGAAAUGAAAGUGAAAGUUGGGAUCCCUGUCGCGGGGAGCACCGACGCCCGGACCAGACCUUCUGUGACGGAUCCGCGGUAGAGCAUGUAUGUUGGGACCCGAAAGAUGGUGAACUAUGCCUGAAUAGGGUGAAGCCAGAGGAAACUCUGGUGGAGGCUCGUAGCGAUUCUGACGUGCAAAUCGAUCGUCAAAUUUGGGUAUAGGGGCGAAAGACUAAUCGAACCAUCUAGUAG
rnacentral:rRNA from 1 species